CGCGGGUAAAAUCCUCGAUUUCAUCGGGCAUCCUGCUAUAAAUUCAGACGCUGGAGAAAGAAAGGGAAAGGAGGUGUACAGCCACCGAUACUUCUGCUUCGACGAGAGGUCUAAGUUAUUCAACAGCCAACGUCAACGCGUUUUCAAACCAAAGGACAAAGAUGCUGUACGUGCUGAUUCUAGCGAUUGCCCUCACAUCAUGCGUCAUGUGUGAGAGAAAUGCUUUGGGCUUGGAUGCCAGAACGAACGAGGACAUCGGACAACUAGAUCACUCUCGCCGUUUGGUUGGGACUAUUAUCACGGCUAUCAGUGGUGGUUUAUCUGUCGGCGCACACUUCGGUUGGUGGAAAAGAGGAAGCGCUGAUGGGAGGAUGGAGCGUUUCAAAGUGAUGAUUCAAGCGAAUCCGUGCGCUUUCAACAUUUACGAUGCAAACGGAGAUGGCGCGAUAACAUGGGAAGAGUUCGAAGCGAUUUUUGGAGAAGGCAAAACAACACACAAUUUGGCCGAGGCACUUGACGAAUCCGGUGAGUUAAUCUGGUAUAUAUUUCAACCUCAUAAGUCUUGCUCUAUGAAAAGGGGGUUUAAUGCAUUUGCGUAACGUUACGUCUCAGAUUAGCCUGUCCAGUAAGCACAGACUAACAAGGGUCGAAAUUUCCGCUUGCAUAUACAUAUAGUAUUUUUCGUUUAAAGGAAGACUCUUCUUUGCAAUAAUCCUGUUAAGGCGGAAAGUGUCGUCUCUGAUUGCCAUGUGCGUACGCACAUGCAAUAAACCCCCUUUUCACAGAGCGAGGCUAAUGUACACAAACUCAAACUCUCGUACACAAUUUAACACAUGUUACACAGAUCGGUCGCAUAGAAAUAUUCCACUUAUAAUAAUGCGCCUACUAGCGGAGCAUAUGUCCACUAUUUGAGCUGUACUUUUAUUAUGAUAUACCUUAAUAUAUCAUGUACAUGUAUUGUAUAAAGCGAUAUAUAUUUCCUUUAACUGGUCAGUGUGAAGAUCGACAAACGAUUUUUACAAAGCCGCAGCCCAUAUACUAUAUUAAAACAUCGAAGAUUGGCAAUUUUAACUUUAGUAUUGUUUAUUUGUUUUUAAUAUGUUCUUUUAAUGCUCGAAAUUCAGCUCUUUAAUUUUUGUUACACAAUUGUUGGGACAUAUUCGAGCAAUAUAUUUUUAUGGUGAACAUGUAUCUUUUAAUAUCUCAGCGUUUAAAAUUAGGACGUCAUCAGGUCGCCGUCCGGCGUCAACAAAGUGCGAGUUUGUAUUACGUCAUGGACGACUAGUUAAUUUAUUUAGUUAUUAAUUGAAUUUCUUACUAUUUAAGUUUAAUUCAAGAUGUUUGAUUUAACAAAAUAUAAGAAAUUCUAUGUAUAUGGCUUAAAUUAAGUAUACAUAACCAUAUGUUUUUAUAUACAUAACCAUUACUGCUGCUUAGUACUGAAAAUGUAUGAAGAUGAUCUUAACAUUUAAUAAUGUUUCGACUCUAAAGCGUUUUUAUCAAAGGCGAUAUGUGGGUGGUACUUUUGUAAGUUUAAUUUGAUCGUGCCUCAAUCAGUUAUUGCCUGUUGCUCUGGUUUGACCAUUAUGUAGUUUAAUUUGCCGUGAAUUGCCCGGUUCAGAGCGGUGGCCCCAGAUGUUUUCAUGACUGUUUGGUUGAUAUGCAUUUGUGUUUCACGUUUAUUAAAUGUGUCGUAUGUCAUACCGUUGGGCUUUUGGUGUUUUGCAAUUAAUAUUUGGCCAGAUGCUAUUACAAUAUUCAUCUUCUGCUGAUGCAGCUGAAGUUUCAAUUUAAAUAUGGGCCGCGCUCUGUGAAAAAUGGGUUUAAUGCGUGUGCAAAUAGUGUCGUUCCAGAUUAGCUUGUGCAGUCCCCACAGGCUUAUCAGGGGCGACAUUUCCGCCUCCAUUGUAUUUAUCGUUUAACGAAACACUAAUCUUGACGAAAAUCCAGUUUAGGCGGAAAGUGACUUCCCUGAUAAGCAUGUGAGGACUGCACAGGUAAUCUGUGACGCAACUUUACGCACAUGCAUUAAAUAUACCAAUAUAUUUGGUACAAUUACUUCAAUGCUGAUUUACUCAAACGUCUGCACUAUUGAAGGCAUGCGUAAAAGGAGCUCACUCUUCACCAUCUUCUAUAGCAUUUAUAUGCCUACAUAAAGGCGUUUUAGUUUGAUUUUUAAGAUACCCAUUUGAAACUUUUUCCAAAAAAUUAACAUAAUGUUGGGACUGUGGGCGAUUUUAAAUUUGUUUAAACAUAUUUAUUUAAGCUCGAUUGCAUUGAAAGUACUCACUACCUAAUUGAAACGCAUUCUCGUCCGUUUCCUGGGACUAGAACCAGUACUUGGGUGUUUUCGGGGUAGAUCUAAAGAACACUCCCACAAUGGGGAUCGAACCCGUGACCUCCCGGUCGCUACGCGGAGACCAUAUACAUUACACCGCGACGACAUUGACUUUUAAUGAUACACGUAUCUCCGGAAUACGCCACGCAUUUUUGCUUGGUUAUCACAUGAUGCCUCUUUUGCAGGUUCUGGUACGGUGAGCGAAGAGGAAUUCAAGAAGGGCAUGCAUAAAUUUGUUGAAGGAUGUUAAACUCGCGAUUAUCUAUGCGUCCGGAAUCGUGGGAAGAUGCUGUUAUACAAUUAUUUCUUACAGAAUUGUUAAUGAUAACUGAAUGCCUUAUUAUGUCGAAUGUUUACUUGACAGUUUAACAGUUGUUGCUAGCAGUAGGCUUUGGUUCAAGUAUGUAUCCUUAAUUCAUUUCAAACUAUACUUUGUAUGCACACUUAAAUGCCUUUCAAAUGAAUAAUGUAUAGUCUCACAUUAGCCACUUAAUCAUUUGUGCUUAUUAAACAGAAAUGCGCUUUCGUUACACAUUCUUACGUUUAUCGGUGUUUUGCAGUCUUAUUAUUGUAUAUCAAUCCUAAUGCACAUAAAUUAACUUUAAGAUUCUCAUCCCGGAUUCGACAAAAUCCGGGUAGCGGGUAAAUUUAUACUUUUUGUAUGUGUUAUACCAUCUUAACAAUUGAUGAUGGUCGAUACCAUAUUGUGUUAUUUUAACUGAUUAAUAAUUAAUUAAUGCAUUAACUUGCAAGUGUUACUUUGUUACUAUAUAUUUGCUUUGAUUGAAUAAAUAUUUAGCAUUAAA